rnacentral:tRNA from 1 species
GAUCUCGUAGCUCAACCGGUAGAGCGUGGGCUGUACCAAAGCAUAGGCGGUGUCCAUGUGUGGGUUCGAAUCCCACCUAGGCUA